rnacentral:tRNA from 1 species
GCUCCCGUAGCCCAACCGGCAGAGGCCAUGCACUCAAACUGCAUACAGUGUGGGUUCGAAUCCCACCGGGGGCACAA